GUGCUUGCUUCAGUAGCACAUAUACUAAAAUUGGAAGAAUACAGAGAAGAUUAUCAUGGCCCCUGCACAAGGAGGACACACAAAUUCUUGAAGUGUUCCAUAUUUUU
rnacentral:snRNA from 1 species